rnacentral:rRNA from 1 species
GACGAACGCUGGCGGCGUGCUUAACACAUGCAAGUCGAACGGUGAAGCGCCUUCCUUUUUGGUGGGUGUGGAUGAGUGGCGAACGGGUGAGUAACACGUGAGUAACCUGCCCCCUUCUUCUGGAUAACCGCAUGAAAGUGUGGCUAAUACGGGAUAUUCUGGGUCUGUCGCAUGAUGGGUCUGGGAAAGAUAUUGUUUCGGUGGGGGAUGGGCCCGCGGCCUAUCAGCUUGUUGGUGGGGUGAUGGCCUACCAAGGCGGUGACGGGUAGCCGGCCUGAGAGGGUGGACGGUCACACUGGGACUGAGACACGGCCCAGACUCCGACGGGAGGCAGCAGUGGGGAAUAUUGCACAAUGGGCGCAAGCCUGAUGCAGCGACGCCGCGUGAGGGAUGGAGGCCUUCGGGUUGUGAACCUCUUUCGCCAGUGAAGCAGGCCUGCCUCGUUUGUGGGUGGGUUGACGGUAGCUGGAUAAGAAGCGCCGGCUAACUACGUG